GCAGUGAGUGCAUGAGCAGAGGCCAUCAAGGCCCUUGUGAGGCCUCAGGCCAUCAAGCCCAAGAUGUCAAAGGGCCCUAGGUGCAAACUCAGCCAUCUUGCUUUCAUCGCUCACCCCAAGCUUGGGAAGUGGAUUCGAAGCUACAUGGCCAAGAGUCAAAGGCUCUGCUAAUCAAAACCUAAGGUUCAAACAAGGCAGAGGCCAAACCUCCAGCUAAGGCCCAGGCUUCAGCUCCAGCCCAGGCUCCCAAGGGUGCCCAGGCCCCUGUGAAGGCACCAUAG
rnacentral:lncRNA from 1 species